AUGGGCUGGUCCCCUCUCUUCCUCAUCCUCCUCGCUCACUGCACAGUGUCCUGGGCCCAGUCUGUGCUGACUCAGCCGGCCUCGGUGUCUGGGUCCCUGGGCCAGAGGGUCACCAUCUCCUGCACUGGAAGCAGCUCCAAUGUUGGUUAUGGCAAUUAUGUGGGCUGGUACCAGCAGCUUCCAGGAACAGGCCCCAGAACCAUUAUCUGUUAUACCAAUACUCGACCCUCUGGGGUUCCUGAUCGAUACUCUGGCUCCAAGUCAGGCAGCACAGCCACCCUGACCAUCUCUGGGCUCCAGGCUGAAGACGAGACUGAUUAUUACUGUACUACGUGUGACAGCAGUCUCAAUGCUAGCACAGUGCUCCAGGCCUUUGGAGAGUGA